rnacentral:rRNA from 1 species
UACGAAGGGUGCAAGCGUUAAUCGGAAUUACUGGGCGUAAAGCGCGCGUAGGUGGCUUGAUAAGUUGGAUGUGAAAUCCCCGGGCUCAACCUGGGAACUGCAUCCAAAACUGUCUGGCUAGAGUGUGGUAGAGGGUAGUGGAAUUUCCAGUGUAGCGGUGAAAUGCGUAGAUAUUGGAAGGAACACCAGUGGCGAAGGCGACUACCUGGACUAACACUGACACUGAGGUGCGAGAGCGUGGGGAGCAAACAGG